AAUACCGGAUAUGACUGAUCAUCGCAUGGUGGUUGGUGGAAAGCUUUUGUGGUUUUGGAUGGACUCGCGGCCUAUCAGCUUGUUGGUGGGGUAAUGGCCUACCAAGGCGACGACGGGUAGCCGGCCUGAGAGGGUGACCGGCCACACUGGGACUGAGACACGGCCCAGACUCCUACGGGAGGCAGCAGUGGGGAAUAUUGCACAAUGGGCGCAAGCCUGAUGCAGCGACGCCGCGUGAGGGAUGACGGCCUUCGGGUUGUAAACCUCUUUCAGUAGGGAAGAAGCGAAAGUGACGGUACCUGCAGAAGAAGCGCCGGCUAACUACGUGCCAGCAGCCGCGGUAAUACGUAGGGCGCAAGCGUUAUCCGGAAUUAUUGGGCGUAAAGAGCUCGUAGGCGGUUUGUCGCGUCUGCCGUGAAAGUCCGGGGCUCAACUCCGGAUCUGCGGUGGGUACGGGCAGACUAGAGUGAUGUAGGGGAGACUGGAAUUCCUGGUGUAGCGGUGAAAUGCGCAGAUAUCAGGAGGAACACCGAUGGCGAAGGCAGGUCUCUGGGCAUUAACUGACGCUGAGGAGCGAAAGCAUGGGGAGCGAACAGGAUUAGAUACCCUGGUAGUCCAUGCCGUAAACGUUGGGCACUAGGUGUGGGGGACAUUCCACGUUUUCCGCGCCGUAGCUAACGCAUUAAGUGCCCCGCCUGGGGAGUACGGCCGCAAGGCUAAAACUCAAAGGAAUUGACGGGGGCCCGCACAAGCGGCGGAGCAUGCGGAUUAAUUCGAUGCAACGCGAAGAACCUUACCAAGGCUUGACAUGAACCGGAAAGACCUGGAAACAGGUCCCCCACUUGUGGUCGGUUUACAGGUGGUGCAUGGUUGUCGUCAGCUCGUGUCGUGAGAUGUUGGGUUAAGUCCCGCAACGAGCGCAACCCUCGUUCUAUGUUGCCAGCACGUGAUGGUGGGGACUCAUAGGAGACUGCCGGGGUCAACUCGGAGGAAGGUGGGGACGACGUCAAAUCAUCAUGCCCCUUAUGUCUUGGGCUUCACGCAUGCUACAAUGGCCGGUACAAAGGGUUGCGAUACUGUGAGGUGGAGCUAAUCCCAAAAAGCCGGUCUCAGUUCGGAUUGGGGUCUGCAACUCGACCCCAUGAAGUCGGAGUCGCUAGUAAUCGCAGAUCAGCAACGCUGCGGUGAAUACGUUCCCGGGCCUUGUACACACCGCCCGUCAAGUCACGAAAGUUGGUAACACCCGAAGCCGG
rnacentral:rRNA from 1 species